GGCCUACCAUGGUUUUAACGGGUAACGGGGAAUUAGGGUUCGAUUCCGGAGAGGGAGCCUGAGAAACGGCUACCACAUCCAAGGAAGGCAGCAGGCGCGCAAAUUACCCAAUCCCGACACGGGGAGGUAGUGACAAUAAAUAACAAUACGGGGCUCAUUUGGGUCUCGUAAUUGGAAUGAGUACAAUUUAAAUCUCUUAACGAGGAACAAUUGGAGGGCAAGUCUGGUGCCAGCAGCCGCGGUAAUUCCAGCUCCAAUAGCGUAUAUUAAAGUUGUUGCAGUUAAAAAGCUCGUAGUUGAACUUCGGGGUUUACUCAUUGGUCAGGCUUAAUUGUCUGCACUGGUGAGAUGAAUCUCUACCUUCUGAGGAACUUUCAUGCCAUUUAUUUGGUGUGAUUGGAAAUCAGGACUGUUACUUUGAAAAAAUUAGAGUGUUUAAAGCAGGCUAACGUCUGAAUACAUUAGCAUGGAAUAAUGAAAUAGGACGGACUGAUUUCUAUUUCGUUGGUUUCUAGGAUCACCGUAAUGAUUAAUAGGGAUAGUUGGGGGCAUUAGUAUUCAAUUGUCAGAGGUGAAAUUCUUGGAUUUAUUGAAGACUAACUACUGCGAAAGCAUUUGCCAAGGAUGUUUUCAUUAAUCAAGAACGAAAGUUAGGGGAUCGAAGACGAUCAGAUACCGUCGUAGUCUUAACCAUAAACUAUGCCGACUAGGGAUCGGACGAAGUUAAUUUUAUAAUGACGCGUUCGGCACCUUACGGGAAACCAAAGUGUUUGGGUUC
rnacentral:rRNA from 1 species